rnacentral:rRNA from 1 species
AUUGAACGCUUGCGGCAGGCCUAACACAUGCAAGUCGAGCGGAUGAAGGGAGCUUGCUCCUGGAUUCGGCGGCGGACGGGUGAGUAAUGCCUAGGAAUCUGCCUGGUAGUGGGGGAUAACGUCCGGAAACGGGCGCUAAUACCGCAUACGUCCUGAGGGAGAAAGUGGGGGAUCUUCGGACCUCACGCUAUCAGAUGAGCCUAGGUCGGAUUAGCUAGUUGGUGGGGUAAAGGCCUACCAAGGCGACGAUCCGUAACUGGUCUGAGAGGAUGAUCAGUCACACUGGAACUGAGACACGGUCCAGACUCCUACGGGAGGCAGCAGUGGGGAAUAUUGGACAAUGGGCGAAAGCCUGAUCCAGCCAUGCCGCGUGUGUGAAGAAGGUCUUCGGAUUGUAAAGCACUUUAAGUUGGGAGGAAGGGCAGUAAGUUAAUACCUUGCUGUUUUGACGUUACCAACAGAAUAAGCACCGGCUAACUUCGUG